rnacentral:rRNA from 1 species
AGUGAACGCUGGCGGCAGGCCUAAUACAUGCAAGUCGAACGGCAGCACAGCAGAGCUUGCUCUGUGGGUGGCGAGUGGCGGACGGGUGAGGAAUACAUGGGAAUCUGCCCAGUCGUGGGGGAUAACGUAGGGAAACUUACGCUAAUACCGCAUGCGCCCUUCGGGGAAAGCCGGGGACCGUAAGGCCUGGCGCGAUUGGAUGAGCCCAUGUCGGAUUAGCUAGUUGGCGGGGUAAAGGCCCACCAAGGCGACGAUCCGUAGCUGGUCUGAGAGGAUGAUCAGCCACACUGGAACUGAGACACGGUCCAGACUCCUACGGGAGGCAGCAGUAGGGAAUAUUGGACAAUGGGCGCAAGCCUGAUCCAGCCAUGCCGCGUGAGUGAAGAAGGCCCUCGGGUUGUAAAGCUCUUUGUCCGGAAAGAAAAGCGCCGGGUUAAUACCCUGGUGUCCUGACGGUACCGGAAGAAUAAGCACCGGCUAACUUCGUGCCAGCAGCCGCGGUAAU